rnacentral:rRNA from 2 species
GGACUACCAGGGUAUCUAAUCCCGUUUGCUCCCCUAGCCUUCGUGCCUCAGCGUCAGAUGCUGUCCAGGACUUCGCUUUCGCUGCGAGCGUUCUUCUCGAAAUCUACGCAUUUCACUGCUACACCGAGAAUUCCAAGUCCCUCUCCAGAUCUCUAGCGAAGCAGUAUCAGAUGCAAGUUGGAGGUUGAGCCCCCAAAUUUCACAUCCGACUUACUCCGCAGCCUACGCACCCUUUACGCCCAGUGAUUCCGAACAACGCUUGAGACCUCUGUAUUACCGCGGCUGCUGGCAC